AUGGUGUACAUAUACAUAUAUAAUAAAUUGUACAUAUCCACUCUUAUACUCGCCAGCAAAAUUUGGUACGAUAAUUAGUAAAGUUCAUUCCUUAGUCAUGUUACGUUAAUUGAUAUUUAUCGUAGAAUAUUCAAGCGAGUGAUUACGCGUAAACGAAUUUGUGAUCGAGGAGCGAUAGCCAGUGACGCAGCUAAUGGCAACGGGAGCUUCUCCACCUCCUGUCCUCUUUAUGAAAUUUUGCGAUUCAAUUUAUGGUCACUCGUCGAUAAGCGGAUUUGAAUUUAUAUCUAACCUACAUGACCGUUCGGCGGGUUACAUUCGUGCUCUAUGCAAACAUCCAGUGGCACACGUGCAUAGCUUCACUCCCCUCGUGUGCUACUUGGACGUCCUGUACAUAAAAACACGUCAUCCUUUCACUUCCGGAUAACACAAUCUAUCAUCAGCACUUUCCUGGAUGGACGUACUUGUGGACGUAGGAAAAAUUGCGAACGAGUAUCGAAUUUGACGGACGUCAAGAAAGACUUUUCCACGCGUGUUUACGAUAAUGGAGGCUCGUGUUACGACCACGAAUUCAAUGCGGAUUAAUCUCCGUGAGCGUUACGCGCUCUCGUUGAGCAGGACAAUUACAUUGGUAUUCAUAACCCUCGAUGUCGGUCCCCAGGUGAUCAGUGUCCCUGGUCAGGAUUAAGGACAGUACUGGGACUAGGAACAUGCGGAAUAGGAUAAUCCAGUGUAUACGCUACCAGCCAUGGAUUUUUGAUCUCUGAAAUUGGACAAAUAAUGGAAGAAGGAAAAUCGUGUAGAAGAAAAACUGCAGACUCCUAUUAUGGUUACUGGGUUGUAGCUCAAAAUAAUAGCUGCUAUAAAUAACGUAACGACCUUUGCUCUGGGAGGAACAUGGAGGAAAGAAAAAAAAAAGAUGCUAUCUCGUGAAAUGAAUUUCGACUCCAGGAAUAAAUCGUCCCGUGUAAUUACCGCGUGGUUAAUGGCCACUUGUUCGCUCAGUGGAAACUGGGUAUUGCGGAUUUCAAGAUACACUUGAGAAUUCAGUCGAUUCAUCUGACAGAAUUUAAGGGUGGGACAUUGCGUCAGAAUUCACUGCAGAAUUCCAGAGCGAUGCGCACGCAGCUACAGUCACAAUCAUAAUGACAAUCACAGUGUAAGUCCAUUGUAAGGUUAAUAUAGAAGUAAUGGCUGGGUAUAAUAAAGAAGACCUUAUGGAACGGGCAAUAAAGGCAGUCCGCAAAGUCCGACCGCAUUCGCGAAACUCCUAUGAAUUUAUCCACGCGAUACGUUUCUCCUGUAUGCAUAUAAGUUACGUUUGUACCAAGUCGCACCAGGUUGCGUUGCGGUAGAAAAUCUAUGACGCUUAAAAUCCUGCGGAAAGCCAAACGAAGGAAAAACCAAAGUUAAGUGAUUUUAGAAAAAAAUGCCUAAGGUAACGUAAAAUUUCAAUUACGGUAAAAACAAUUGUAUAACCUAACAAAAAUAUUAUUAAAAGAUCGAUACGUGGAAUAAUUGAACGUGGAUUUAAGUAAUUGAAUCGUAAUGCAUGAAUGGUAAUGGUGAUGGGAAAACAGUACCAAUAAAUUCUACAGGGUGUGGUAUGAAAUUUGAUUAUCACGAUCUUGUACAUAAUUCAAUUUAUCUCUCGAAAUUACAAACGGAUCUCUAUACAGAGUUUCGGAUUCGAGACUCGGUCAUUAUCUUUUUUUAAUUAACUUAGGAUUUAACAAAUAUAAAAUUAUAUUGUACUAUGUACAUUUUAUUAUAUUACAUGUAUACGAUAAAUACAUAAUUCAGCGAGCUUCAACGCUUCUUCCCACGAGCCUCUGAGAGACAAACCGGGCAGAUGAACAUUAACACAAAUAAGAAACGAGGAUUUGCAUGGGAAACGCACUGGCCUGUGCGCCCUUGCAGCAGUCGGGUAUAACAACGGUACGACAGUGACUCGCGCACCCGUGUGCUAGGGAGACGAUUACGCGAGGCGUAGAAUGAACGACGCGAAACCGAAAGAAGAAAAAGAAGAAACUGAGAGACCGAUGAUGCUCUGUUUGUCACCGGAUUAGCUAUCCUCGGACCCGUAGCGACCAUGAAAGCGUAGGAUGACGCGUGAGAGUACGUCGAACAGAAAAGAUCAGUUGAUCCCGUGAAUUGAAAGUUACAUCGGUUCCACUAACAAACUCACGAUCUUCAAUUGUUUUGACGAUCCCGAUUAAAUAGAUCCUGGCAUCUGGCUACGUUAGGAUGGCUGCAACGGCUCCGUGCUGCUUCUGCGAUCCCUGUAUGCUCGCCGAUCCUGAAGACGCUCGCCGCUUGCUUCGCGUUGAGCCGCCAUGUUGCGGUGCUCCGGUCUGACGUCACCUCUCCUCGACAGCGCUCCGCCAGGCUCGUAGUUGGCUCUCUCGGGCCCCGACUCAAUAGAAAUUGUAUCGAAUCCUCUCGGAUCCGGUUAAUGAAGUCAAAAACAAGCGAAACGUUUCGCACAGGAAAAUAAAUACAAAUACUUGAAAUAAAGUCAGUCCAACGCCACGCAAAAAGCUUCGUAACCCAUCAGGCACCUCGACGUAGCCGAAUUCGCAUACUUCGUGACGUGCAUCAAAAUGCCACGUCACAGUAUAUAAUGUAAGGCUGAAGAAGCACGUGAGGCUGCAAAGGUUACGACCAGGAACACUCCAAAUCCCAAGGACGCCCGUAGACUCCAAAAUCUGUGGUGAGGAACAGGUGGUAUCUAAAAUGGAAUAUGUAGACUUCCAACUUCCAGUAAAAAAUAGCACUGCAAUACAUUUUAGCUCCCGCGUACAGGUUUGCGUCUAACUGAACGCGAAACUCAAAACAAUUGCGAAUCGCAUGUUCGACGUAGAGCUGCAGCACGAAGCUAAGGCGUUCCGACAGUAUCGAAAAUCUGUCAAGAAGUUACCAAAUUUCAAACGCAGAUAUUUCCCUUAUUAUGUAUGCUCUCCGUACGAACUGUUUUUCAUCUUUAUUCUUCUUUUCCUGCUCUAUGACUUUUGCAUUUAACUUUUAUCGUUAUCAUUUCACUUGACAAAGAUAAUUUUUUUAUUUGCCUACGGGAAUCAAACGAACAAUAAUAAUACGCCUAAUCGAUGCAUAAUCAAAAAACAUUCAUAGGUUAUCACAUAAGAUUUUCGAAAUCGUGCAUCUUUUCACCGCAAAGCGCAAACAUGCGUCUCAGCUGAUACACUUUGCAUAGAACAUAUGGACAUUGUAAAAGGAUUGAAUAGGUACGAUAACGUAUACGAAUUUUUUCUGUAAAAAUUAAAUUUUCUUAUCAUAUGUAAACUUCUGAACGACAAUGUAAUUAUACAGAGACGUUAUACCGUUACCACGGAUAAAUAUGUUCCAAUAGUUGUGUCAUAAUUUUAGUCCCACUUAUUAAUAAAUACCACUAAAACUGUCACUAGGCACACUUAAUAAAAUGCGUUACAAGCAAAGCCAUCAGUUGUAAUUCAAAGUGUUCUUAAACUUGACAACAAUUACCAAUUGAAAAUAUAUGACGGAUAUUCAAAUCCUUUUUAAUCGAUAUUCUUACAGUGAGUAGCACCGUUCAUCCAUUAAGCUUAUACUUACGCGAAAAAGAAUAGACUUUUUAAUAAAGAUAAUUAAUAUCCUCGCUCCGAAGUAACCAUAAAAAAAUGAAGUAAAAUUGUAAAAAAAGCUAAUAGAAUGAAUCAAGUAAAAUAAAAAAUGUCAAAUUCAUCAAAAUAAAGAAUACCAAUAUAUAACACUAUGACUUUUAGUAGCGAUAUAACGGCGUAGUCAGUAUCGGUCGUUAGUAUUCAAAAGCCACAAUGCAGGAGCCGUCCACUUGCAUAUUUUGAGAAAAUCCACAGCAGAUUCAGCAACAUAUUCCGCAAGAAUAUUUAAAGGUUUCGGGCACGAAUAUUAGCAUAUUUAUUGAACGUCACUCAUAGCUCCGUCCCAGGACCUAAAAUACCAACUGCACGUCUUCGUUCCACCCUAAGGAUAACCAACGGAUCAACCACCAAGAAGACAUAAUUACUUCACCCCAAUUGGAUAGCAUCUUCCCACGUCGACCCAAAGUGAUCUGUUUCGGUUGACAGAUUCUAGACCACUUUCAUUUUCUACCCCCGUCAAAAGCGAACCCCAGCAAAGCAUACCCCAGGUAUGAUCCGACAAUCAAAUUAUUUUCCGUAAAAGCCAUCGAAACUUUUCCCUCCCGAUCCAAAAUUCCUUACCGCUAUCGCAAAUCGAAUAAACCCCCCAAAAAAUUUGUCUACUAAAAAAUAAUUAAUUUAUAGCAAACGUAAAAGCUGCUAUUAGUUCGGUAUGUUGUAUACACGUAUAUAUAUUUACUCCCGCAAUAUAGUAUAUGCCUACUACACUGCGGUCUUGUAUCCAAUACAGCAUACCCCUGGGGCGCAGAAAAC